CCGACAAGCCCACCAGGCCAGGAGCAACUUUGGGAUCUGCUGAGACGCCCUCUGGUGUGCUGGAAUCAGAUCUGUCAGUUUCUCCCUUCACGUCAGCUAAAGAGCCACUGUCCCCAGAAUCUCCCGAAGUCUGUGUUCAGGAAUUGUUAUACAAGCCUCAGACCUCAAAGCCAAGGACCAGACGUUCUUCCAGUUGAGAGAGGAAAAUCCACCUGACCCUAUGUAUGCAGCCUAGAAAGCCCCAAGCAAACUGGAUCUCCAUGACCACAAGCCGUGGGAGCAGCAGGCUGACAGGCUGAGGCUUCAGUCUGGCGCCCAGUGUGUCAGCGUGACCUGCAAGCUGCCGCCUGGCUGUCUGCCUGACUGUCACGGUGGACGAACAGUGACCAGGCUGGAGGUUUGAGGGCCACACACUAAAGUGCUCAAUACUGGGCUCCGGCUGGGGCCCCGCUAGCGAGUCUCUUCCUUCCUGUGUGCAGCGAGAAAGCAACGAGACUGUCCUUGGAGAAUCUGCAGCAGUGGCUAGCAGGUGCAAAGCUUUGGAGAAAAACCAAAGGCUUUGGGAGUUCCAGAAGGCACAGACCUGAAGGAUUCCCAUCCCACCGAGAGCAGCUCUCACUGGGACACAGACCCAGCAGGGGAGACAAUGCUGUCAUUGUGGGAAACGUAAUGGAGCAAGUGAGGCUUCGGAUGAGCAAGGCUAACGGGGGAGCCUGUGAGAAGGGGCAGAGCAUGUCAGCGUCGCUCCGUGACUUCCCUUUAGGGCUGUGGAUCUGUCUGAUGUUCCAGGAGCAGAGAGGAGCCGGAGAACAGUCACUAAACACCGAGCAGCAGCGCUUAGGCCCUGUCCUCCAUCCUUCACGUUUAUGGCUUCUUCGUAAUUGUUUAUGUUUUCAUUCGUUCUGCAUCUUGGGAGCCACUUUUGAUCAGUCUGCAGAGUGAUAAACUUUUCUGAUCUCAGAGGACCAGUUUGUCCUCCGCCUUGUUAAUAGCCUGUCAAAAGGCAAUGCCUUGGGCAUGUUUCAGAUUCUUACAGCUAAUGGCAUCGGCAUCAGGAGAAACAGCAGCCAAGUUUCCCCUCCUUGUCCUCACCUCAAACUCAUUUUCAGGAAGAUCAGAAGGCACCCUUCCAGGGGGAGCAGGGCUGACAGCCCAGGGAACCAGCAGCUGGAGACGAGAACAUGGGUGUUUACCUUUGGAGAACAGCUUUGAGAUCAAAGCAAUGGCUUUUAAAAAAUAAAACUUUGGCCCGGGGAUUUA